rnacentral:rRNA from 1 species
GACGAACGCUGGCGGCGUGCCUAACACAUGCAAGUCGAGCGUAAGUUUUUAAAGAAGAUUUCUUCGGAAUGAAACUUUAAUUAUCUUAGCGGCGGACGGGUGAGUAACGCGUGAGAAACCUGCCUUUUACAAAGGGAUAGCCUCGGGGAACUGGGAUUAAUACCUUAUGACACUUAAAUGUCGCAUGAUAAUUAAGUUAAAGAAUUUCGGUGAAAGAUGGUCUCGCGUCUGAUUAGCUAGUUGGUAAGGUAACGGCUUACCAAGGCGACGAUCAGUAGCCGGAUUGAGAGGUUGAACGGCCACACUGGAACUGAGACACGGUCCAG